rnacentral:rRNA from 1 species
GUCCUAGCCCUAAACGAUCAGCACUUGUUGUGGGCCCUGUUUGGGGUCCGUGACGAAGCUAACGUGCUAAGUGCUGCGCCUGGGGAGUACGGUCGCAAGACUGAAACUCAAAGGAAUUGACGGGGGCCCGCACAAGCGGUGGAACAUGUGGUUCAAUUCGACGCAACGCGAAGAACCUUACCUGGGCUUGAACCGCGCACGACCAGCCGUGGAAACAUGGCCUUCCCGCAAGGGACGUGCGUAGAGGUGCUGCAUGGCUGUCGU